rnacentral:rRNA from 1 species
UUCAAUACUAUUGCGAGCAAUCGGAAUGGUGUGCACUUUUCUCUUAGUAAGACGUUGUGAUCCAUUAGGAAUCGAAUGUGUGCUGUAUAUGCAUUCAAUAGGUUGCCAAUAGGCCGGCAUGAAGUUCACAUUGACAAACAAYUCGUUCUUUUGGAUGGGUAUAUUGUCUUGUGAGCAUGUCGKGUUCUGAUGCAACUGUCUGAUGGAUAUUAAAGGCGAUAUCAYUGAAGCUUGCNNNNNNNNNNNNNNNNNNNNNNNNNNGGUUGGGYUGUGUUGGAUAUGUGCCCGAUCAACAACGGUUUCAUUUGGGAUACCUUUGGGACCCGUCUUGAAACACGGACCAAGGAGUCUAUCUAGUAUGCGAGUAAAUGAGAUGUAGAAACUUAUUUGCGCAAAAAACUUGACUGUAAUAUAAUGGGAUUACGUGUCUACUACCUAUAAACGGGGGGCACCUCCAUCCCGGGGUAUUUACAUCACAUAUAUGGGCAACUAUAUAUAGUAAAUAUACCAUGAGCAUACUGGACAUGACCCGAAAGAUGGUGAACUAUGCCUGAUCAGGUUGAAGUCAGGGGAAACCCUGAUGGAGGACCGAAGCAAUUCUGACGUGCAAAUCG